UGAAACCUAAUUAAUCACUCUCUCAACUGAACAUUGCUUUGCUGUGGAAUCCAUCAAGAUCGAACCAGUCCAUCAACCGAUUAUCUUCUCAUGUCUCCUAGAUAUACGCAAACAUUGUGGUUCUGCCUAAAGCUUAUGUUCAGAAGAACAUGUGCGGUCGUUUGUCAAGAAGAAGUUGAUAAUCAGGUUUGAUAGUAGGCGUUUAUGGGUUCUU
rnacentral:lncRNA from 1 species